GGAACUAUGGUGUAAUUGGUUCAACAUCCCACUCCUACAAAGUGGAGACGUGAAGUAUAAUCUCGGUUCGAGUCCGAGUAGUUCCA
rnacentral:tRNA from 1 species